CCAUAUACAGUCGCUUUUCAUCUUCCAGUGUUUUAUUGGAGGUUUAGUACAGUGUGUUUUUGAAGAAGUGACUACAUUAUAAAGGAGGGUUAGUUUAAAGGGUGUCACUCCCAGGAAACCUUGUUGCUUUUUUUGGUCAGAUAAUCUUCUCCCAUGCAAUCAAAGCGAUUCCCACUGCGGCUCCAGGCCCUCACAGGAGAGCAGGUGUGACGUUUGGAUGAAGAGGAGAAGAGGUGACCGUGAGCACCAGUAAAAUGGACAGGAAGAUCUUUAGAGGCUCUUUUUGUCCCCCUGGAGCCCUGAAUGAGCUGACAAAUGCUUGAAAGAAACACAAAGGACUUCAUCAUCACUACAUUUGGCCACAGAAAAAUACUAAAUGUACAAAAAUGCCAAACAUGU